UGAUUUUGGAAGAGAGAAAAGCCAACGU
rnacentral:piRNA from 1 species